UUUAGCUAACACGUCAUUGACCAACAAACAUGUACAGAAUGUCUACAAGAGUCGAGACGUAAAAUACAAAACAGAUGUUUAGUUUUUAACUACUUUCUUCACGAAAUAAAACUAUAAAAAAAAGGAAAUAAAAUAUAUUUUAUAAUGAGAGGGCAGAUUAUACGACUAACAUUUGAUUAGUUUUAAUUUAUAUACAGUAAUACUAAAUCAUAAUAAUACUGUACGUUAAAAUGACCAAAUGCUAAUUAUAUACGAGAUAUAAAAAUGACAAAUAAAAACUUCUAGAAUGACUUUAACAUUUGUCUAAGAUAUUGCGUAAUACUUGCAUACGUAGAAACAAAACAAAAUUUUAAAGUGUAAACAUGACGUCAUCCAAAGUGAAUCAAGUGAUGGUGUGACGUUCUAGUCGUUAUUUUUGUAAAACUUGUCUAAAAUUGCUUGCGAAAACGAAUUAAGUCGUAAAAAUGUUAAAGGUAACGCAUUUAUGAAGUUUUAGAAUGAAUUUAAAAUUCGUUUAAAAAAAGUUUAAAAGAAAUCAGCUGAAAAACAUCGUGAGGAUGCGUCAUCUGUAAAAUUCGUUGUACGCUUAUGAAGAGGAGAAACUUUAGUCUACCUAAUUUCAACAUUUUAACUGUAAAAUUCUCAAAUACACUUAAAUAUCUUUGCGUAACCUGCCACUGCAGCUACACUAUAAAGUUAUGACGCAAUACUAUAUAACAAACACGAGGUUCUUUCAAAGUAGUAGUUUUGGUUGAAAUACGAUUAGAACUUCAAAAAGAACAUACUUGGCGUAGUCUGUUGACCUAAACAUUAGUGUUCUGUCCAUAUUUAGUUGCACACUAUUAUUCAUUGCGUCAUGUUUACAGUACGUUGCUCUCCAAAAUACUAUAAUUAUAGUACCGUUAGGAAACGGCGUCAUUUUGUGCGACGCUCAGUUGAAGACAAGUUGUGUGAUUUUAACGCUCUUCUAGAGCGAUAAAAGUUGGUUCUUUCGUGAAAUUAUCUGUAAAAGAAUAGUAACAGAUAUUGAAGUGAACUAACUUGUGCCAUCAAA